GGGCGCACGCGCGCUACACUGACUGAGCCAGCGAGUUUAUMACCUUGACCGAGAGGUCUGGGUAAUCUUGUGAAACUCAGUCGUGCUGGGGAUAGAGCAUUGCAAUUAUUGCUCUUCAACGAGGAAUACCUAGUAAGCGUGAGUCAUCAGCUCGCGUUGAUUACGUCCC
rnacentral:rRNA from 2 species